CACGUAGGGCGCAAGCGUUGUCCGGAAUUAUUGGGCGUAAAGAGCUCGUAGGCGGUCUGUUGCGUCCGCUGUGAAAACUCGGGGCUUAACCCCGAGCCUGCAGUGGAUACGGGCAGACUAGAGGUCGGAAGGGGAAAGUGGAAUUCCGGGUGUAGUGGUGGAAUGCGUAGAGAUCCGGAAGAACACCGGUGGCGAAGGCGGCCUGCUGGGCAGUUGCUGACACUGAGGCGCGACAGCGUGGGGGAGCAAACAGG
rnacentral:rRNA from 1 species